rfam:Candidatus Nomurabacteria bacterium RIFCSPLOWO2_01_FTLL_33_24 rifcsplowo2_01_scaffold_2281, whole genome shotgun sequence.
CCUAAUAGGAAGUUUAAGAGCAUAUGGUGGAUGCCUUGACUCUAAAAGGCGACGAAGGGCGUGGCUUGGCUGCGAUAAUCUUCGGGUAGGUGCCUAGCAACCGUUAAUCCGAAGGUCUCCGAAUGGGGAAACCCGGCUGGAUUUAUAUCUGGUCAUCAAGCACAUAAUGUGGUUAUUCAAAAAGAAGAUAAUGGAUAUUCACAUUAUGUGCUUGAAGUAUACCUAGGGAAGUGAAACAUCUCAGUACCUAGAGGAAAAGAAAACAAUAGUUAUUCUCUUAGUAGUGGCGAGCGAAAAGGGAGAAGCCCAAACCGAGCGCAUAAUUUAUUAUCUGCUCGGGGUUGUAAGGUAACAACUUUAUUUUUUCGGAAAUAAAGAAAGUCAAAAAAUAUAUUAUUAGUUGAAAUUGUUGGAAAGCAAUGCCAUAGACGGUGAUAGCCCCGUAAACGAAAAUAAUACAUCUUUCUUGUUGUUAUUCUUGAGUACCCCAAGACAUGAGUAGCUUGGGGGAAUCUGCCAGAACUAACUGGUAAGGCUAAAUACUUUUAGAGAUCGAUAGUGAACUAGUACCGUGAGGGAAAGGUGAAAAGAACCCCGAUUAGGGGAGUGAAAUAGACCUGAAACCAUAUGCUUACAAAGAGUCAGAGCCGAGCACAUAGUGUACAUUAGUCAUCAAAAAGUGAUUAGUGUUUACUAUGUGCUCGGUCAUGGCGUGCCUAUUGAAGAAUGAGCCAACGAGUUUAUAUAUGUGGCUGGCUAAGUUCCUGAGGGAAUGAAGCCAUAGGGAAACCAAGUGUUAAUAGCGCGAAAUAAAAGUCGUAUGUAUAAGACCCGAAGCCAAGUGAGCUUACCAUGAGCAGGGUGAACUUCGAUGAAAAUCGAAGGGAGGCCCGAACCGGUUGGUCGUGUAACGCCAUCGGAUGACUUGUGGUAAGGAGUGAAAAGCUAAUCGAACUUGGUAAUAGCUGGUUCUCUCCGAAAUAGCUUUUGGGUUAGCGUCUAGCGUACCUUCUGGGGGUAGAGCACUGGAUGAUUCGAAUAGGGGGAAACCUCGUCUAAUCAAUCAAACUCCGAAUACCAGAAAUUAAUUACUAGGCAGUUAGACUAUGGGGGCGAAGCUCCAUUGGUCAAAAGGGAAACAGCCCAGAUCUCAAGAUAAGGUCCCUAAAUCUAUACUAAGUGCGAAUUAAGGAUGUAGAAUUUCUCUGACAAUGAGGAGGUUGGCUUAGAAGCAGCCACCCUUUAAAGAAAGCGUAACAGCUCACUCAUCCAGAGAUUUUGCGCCGCAAAUAAUCGGGGCUAAGUAUGGUACCGAAUCUGAGGAUGUCCUACUUUUAGUAGGGCGUGGUAGGAGAGUAUUCCACUCUGCAUUGAAGGCAAAGGGGUAACCCAUGCUGGAGCGUGUGGAAGUAAGAAUGUUGGCACAAGUAACCGCAAGGCAGGUGAGAUCCCUGCCCGCCGAAAGACUAAGGUUUCCUUGGCAAUGAUAAUCAACCAAGGGUUAGUCGGGCCUAAGGUAAUAGCGAAAGCUGGAACCGAUGGACACAUGGUUAAUAUUCCAUGACCUCUAUCUCGUGCGAUGAGUUGACGGAGUGUUGUACACUUUGCGUAUUAUUGGAUUUACGUUUGAAUCGUGAGGAGUAUCUGUAGGAAAAUCCGCAGAUAAUUGCUCCAAGCGGAUCAAAGACCCUGAGCUUCGGCAAGGGGGAUAAAGUGGAGCAUGCUUCCAAGAAAAUACUCUAAGCAUAACGAGAUAGAGUCCGUACCACAAACCAACACAGGUAGUCAGGUCGAGAAGACCAAGGCGAACGAGUGAUUGUUCCUCAAGGAACUCGGCAAAAUAGCAGCCGUAACUUUGGAAUAAGGCUUGCCCAAUGCAAAUUGGGUCGCAGCUAAAGAAUCUCUGGCAACUGUUUACCAAAAACACAGCUCCCUGCGAACUCGCAAGAGGAUGUAUAGGGGGUGACGCCUGACCAAUGCCCGAAGGUUAAAUAUUGAGGGUAUAGUUCUGCUUGCAGAAUUAUGCUGAUUAAUAUAAGCCCGGGUGAAUGUCGGCCGUAACUAUAACGGUCCUAAGGUAGCGAAAUUCCUUGUCUAGUAAUUUUAGACGUGCACGAAUGGCGUAAUGACUGGAGAACUGUCUCGAGGAACAGCUCGGUGAAAAUACAAUACCGGUGAAGACGCCGGUUACCUGCAGUUAGACGAAAAGACCCCGGGAGCUUUACUAUAGCUUGAUAUUGGGUGUGUUUUUUAAAUGCGUAGCAUAGGUGGGAGACUUUGAUAUCUUGUUUUCGGAUAAGGUGGAGUCGUCAGUGAAAUACCACUCUUUUAAAAGGCACAUUCUAAUCUUAGUGGAAAAAACAUUAAGAGACAGUAUCUGGUGGGUAGUUUGAGUGGGGCGCUCUCCUCCUAAAGAGUAACGGAGGAGUCUAUUAAGGUUAGCUAGGCGCGAAUGGAAACCGUGCCGAUAGUGCAAUGGCAUAAGCUAGCUUGAUUGUGAGGCGUACAUGCCGAGCAAGUGCGAAAGCAGAGCAUAGUGAACACUAGGUUCCCUUUAGAUGGGGCCUAUGAUUAACGGAUAAAAGCUACCCCGGGGAUAACAGGCUGGUUCCGCCCAAGAGUUCAAAUCGACGGCGGAGUUCGGCACCUCGAUGUCGGCUCAACUUAUCCUGGCGCUGGAGAAGGUGCCAAGGGUUUGGCUGUUCGCCAAUUAAAAAGUUACGCGAGCUGGGUUCAAACCGUCGUGAGACAGGUUGGUCUCCUAUCUACUGCAGGCGUUGAUUCUUGAGAAGAUUUGCUCCUAGUACGAGAGGACCGGAGUGAACUAACCUCUGGUGUGUCGGCUGUCGCGCCCGCGGCAUUGCCGAGUAGCUAUGUUGGGAAUGGAUAACCUCUGAAAGCAUCUAAGAGGGAAGCCAACUUCAAGAUUAGGAAUCAUUAAGAAACCUAGGAGAUGACUAGGUUGAUAGGCUCUAGGUGUACGCACAGCAAUGUGUUUAGCCGAGGAGUACUAAUUUUUCGAUUCCUAUUAGGAA